rnacentral:rRNA from 1 species
GACGAACGCUGGCGGCGUGCUUAACACAUGCAAGUCGAACGGAAAGGCCCUGCUUUUGUGGGGUGCUCGAGUGGCGAACGGGUGAGUAACACGUGAGUAACCUGCCCUUGACUUUGGGAUAACUUCAGGAAACUGGGGCUAAUACCGGAUAGGAGCUCCUGCUGCAUGGUGGGGGUUGGAAAGUUUCGGCGGUUGGGGAUGGACUCGCGGCUUAUCAGCUUGUUGGUGGGGUAGUGGCUUACCAAGGCUUUGACGGGUAGCCGGCCUGAGAGGGUGACCGGCCACAUUGGGACUGAGAUACAGCCCAGACUCCUACGGGAGGCAGCAGUGGGGAAUAUUGCACAAUGGGCGGAAGCCUGAUGCAGCAACGCCGCGUGCGGGAUGACGGCCUUCGGGUUGCAAACCGCUUUCGCCUGUGACGAAGCGUGAGUGACGGUAAUGGGUAAAGAAGCACCGGCUAACUACGUG